GGGCCCGUGGCGGAACUGGCAGACGCGACGGACUUAAAAUCCGUUUGGGGGAAACCCCAGUGUGGGUUCAAGUCCCACCGGGCCCA
rnacentral:tRNA from 1 species